AGCAGCCGCGGUAAUUCCAGCUCCAAUAGCGUAUAUUAAAGUUGUUGCAGUUAAAAAGCUCGUAGUUGAAUUUCGGAAUUUAUCGGUUGGUCGGGCUUCACUGUCCGCACUGGCCUGAUGGAUUCCUACCUUCUGAAUAACCAGCAUGCUAUUAAUUUAGUGCGUUGGGGAGGCAGAGCUAUUACCUUGAAAAAAUUAGAGUGCUUAAAGCAGGCUUACGCUUGAAUAGAUUAGCAUGGAAUAAUAAAAUAGGACGGCUUGGUUCUAUUUUGUUGGUUUCUAGGAUCACCGUAAUGAUUAAUAGGGAUAGUUGGGGGCAUUAGUAUUCAACUGUCAGAGGUGAAAUUCUUGGAUUUAUUGAAGACUAACUUCUGCGAAAGCAUUUGCCAAGGAUGUUUUCAUUAAUCAAGAACGAAAGUUAGGGGAUCGAAGACGAUCAGAUACCGUCGUAGUCUUAACCAUAAACUAUGCCGACUAGGGAUCGGACGAUGUUAAUUUUUUAAUGACUCG
rnacentral:rRNA from 1 species